GGGUAACUAGGAACAGGAUAUUGUUCAACCAUGACUUCCUGUUUCACAGGGUAUAAAUAUGAGGUGACACAUAGGCCAAACUCCCUUAGUCAUUCAUCACAAAGGGUAAGACCAAGGAAUAUAACUUUGAUGUGCAGAAAAAGGUUGUUGAGCUUCACAAAAUUAGAAGUGGCUAUACGAAAAUAGAAAAAGCUUUGAAAAUGCCAACUUCCACC